CCCUCAGCGCGCCACUUGGCCUGUCUUUCUAAAUAUUAGCAUAUUAUAAAUGGCAUCAGAACGUGAGGGGCACGGGCCACGUGAUCCUUCCAAGAAAGCCACUCG
rfam:Camelus ferus unplaced genomic scaffold scaffold316, whole genome shotgun sequence.